GGGUGCGGUCAGGUAGAUACCAUGGCUGAAGCUAGGGGAGUACACAUCUGAUGUGAAUCGAAGUAGAGGAGAUGUCAGUGAUGCCUGGGAGGAGCAAGAUCAGAUGGCUCUCCUGUCUUCUGCUUCUGGGCUCUCAGCUUUUGUGAAACCUUCCACCUCUGCUCCGCUGCAGCCAUUAAGUGGGCCUCCUCAUCACCUACCCUUUCUCUCUCUCUUGUAGAAAGGACUUGGAUCCCUUUCUAGUUGACUAUCAAUGCUGACAGAUGAAGCCUCCCCAAGGAAGAAGAGCUGGACUUCUAGCACACAGCUUCCAGAGAACCUUUGGUCUGUCUAUCCCCACUCAAGUGCUGCCCCCUGCCAAGAGAUGAGGGCCCCUAGCUCAAACACAAGGAAAUCCAGGUCUAAAGAAGAAGCCAGAGAAGGAGCAGGGCAGUGGAAGACAGAGAGGUGAGGAAAGGCCAGCACCUGACAUCAUGACAUUGUGCUUCUAAGGUUUGGAAUUCUAGUCCCAGGGUACUUCAUCCCACUGAAUCUGUAUUGCACUGUGACCUGCUUUGACUAGGAAGAAAUGAUGCAGAUCUAGUCCUUAUCUGUGUCUACAGAAAUCCUGGCAUCUUUUAUUUUGUGUCUGAGAAGGCCAUUACCAUCGAAGAAGUUCUGCUACCUUCGGAUCAUUAUGCAAGGAGAAGCCAACGCCAGCCACGCAGAGUUCGUGUGGACAAAGACGGUGGCCCUCAGCCAGCAGAGCUGGGUAGUCACAGCUGUCAGCUAGCACUAAACUCCAGCCACGGGAGUGGGGUCAUCUUAAAAGUGGAUCCUAUUGCCUCACUCAAGCCUCCUCUGGGGAUGCCACAUGGAACCCGAUAAAAUGUGUGCUGGAUUGCUGGUGUGUCAAAACAAACAGAUACAAAAUAGGAGACUCACAUUUAUUCUCUAAUAUAGAGGCCGGAUGUCUGAAACCGAGGUCUUAUGGGUCAGUGCCAGCAUCCCUUCGAAGGCUCUAGCAGGACAAUGACCUUGUAGCUUCCAAUUCCUCACAGCCCCAUCUACUCCCUUGGCUUCGGGGAGCAAGCUCCAAUCUUUGUCUCCAUUUUUUACACGGCUCUUUUCCCUCUAGCUGUGGCCCAAACUUCUUCCUACAAGGAUGCUGGUCAUUGGACCAGGGCCCACCAUAAUGACUUCAUCAGAACAUUAUUACAUCUACAAAGACCUUAUUUCCAAAUAAAGUCACACUUACCAAUCCCGAG
ensembl:lncRNA